UCCCUGGUGGUCCAGUGGUUAGGACUCUGUGCUUCCACUGCAGGGGGCACAGGUUCGAUCCCUGGUUGGGGAA
rnacentral:tRNA from 1 species